UGGUGACACCAGUAACCCUUAAGAGUUUGUUUUCUGCACUUUCAAAAGUCUUUCUCUUAGGACUGCACUUCGCUGUAACAGGGGGGAUUUAAUCGAUCAAGUUGAAGGUCCUUGGUGAGCUCAGUGAGUGUGCUGCGUGACUGGUCUGCGUUGAUUUUUCAAAGUCCCAAGCACAUACACGCGAAAUUGAUUCAUUGAACUUGAAGCACAAAGCUUUCCUUCAGAGUUGAAAUGUGAACAUUUGAAAGUGGUUAUGCUCUCCUCUGUGGCCUGCUGAACGGCAAAUCUAUUUCAGUCCAAUGUAAUCAGGGAAGACCCUAUUUGCAGGUGUAAUCAUGCAGAAGAUCACAACCAGCACGAAUCAGUCACAGACUACAUGUAUUUCAGGUGUAACGUACUUCCUUUUACUGUAUAAUGGUAGAUAUCAGUGUACCGUUAUUAUUGCGAUUGACCAUGGGUUUGUUUCUUAUUGUAUCCUUGUGCUUUUGUGUGACUGUGGCGAUUUGCCAUUGUGUGCAUGCAUGCUUGUGUGUGUGUAUGUGUGUGUAUGUGUGUGUGUGUGUGUGUGUGUGUGUGUGUGUGUGUGUGUGUGUGUGUGUGUGUGUGUGUGUGUGUGUGUGUGUAUGUGUGUGUAUGUGUGUGUGUGUGUGUGUGUGUGUGUGUAUGUGUGUGUAUGUAUGUGUGUGUGUGUGUAUGUAUGUAUGUGUGUAUGUGUGUGUAUGUAUGUAUGUAUGUUUGUGUGUGUAUGUAUGUAUGUAUGUGUGUGUAUGUGUGUGUGUAUGUAUGUAUGUAUGUAUGUAUGUAUGUGUGUGUGUAUGUGUGUGUGUGUGUGUGUAUGUGUUACGAAUUUGUAGUACGACUAUGAUUUACGCAUGUCGUUGUAUUUGGUUCUUGUCUUGUGGAGUCCAGUGUCUGAUGUCAUAUAUGGUCUAGGUGUACGCGCGAGUAUGGUGUGAUGUGUGACGUUUAUGGUAUGUGGUGCAUGCAAGAGUACGCGUUGUCAGAGUGUGAGGAUGUGCUUCCGUCUGUGUGAGAGUGACUGUCAAGUGAAUGCUGUACAUGCGCAGUGCUAGUUUGGUCUGGGAAUGAGAGUCGUGUGUGAUUCGUCCGUGGUCUGGUUGUCUUGGUCUUGGUCAUGUGUUCUGUACGUAUUGGUCCCUGAUUGGUCGUCUCGAUUUGUCGUCGGUUUAUUACUGCUUGUUCGUUGUUUUUUUCUUUGAGUCUUUUCCCGGGAGUCUCUCCCGUCGUCGUUUUCUGUCUAGUCUUUUCGUCUUUCUCCUCCUGUGCCCUCGCCGUUUAUUAUUGAGAAGUGAAUACUAGUAUGGAAGCUAACUGAAUGGUGCGUUGUUGAGUGACCGGGGCCAGGGGGAGAAGCCUACAACUAUUUCCUUUACAUUGGCGCCCAACGUUCGCUCGACGCAGGGUACUAUCUCUGCAGCCCACGACCCUGGGAUCGUUUUGUUUUCACGGCCAUGGAGAUGGAAAGGCGUUCGCCAGCCUGGCCUGCAGGCCCCUUACCCGCCGUACAAGGUUGCCAUACGCGGAUUUCUCCAAGAUUCUGCACGGCUUCCUAUUCCAACUCGGAUCACGCAUCUCUGGCCACAACAUUCCGAUGUCUUAUCGUUUGGUUGUGUUUCCCCUUGUUUCUUUUCUCUGAUCUUUGUCCUUUGUUCUGAGAGUCGAGGUCGACUCUCGCCGGAGGGGAAGGCUAUGUUACGAAUUUGUAGUACGACUAUGAUUUACGCAUGUCGUUGUAUUUGGUUCUUGUCUUGUGGAGUCCAGUGUCUGAUGUCAUAUAUGGUCUAGGUGUACGCGCGAGUAUGGUGUGAUGUGUGACGUUUAUGGUAUGUGGUGCAUGCAAGAGUACGCGUUGUCAGAGUGUGAGGAUGUGCUUCCGUCUGUGUGAGAGUGACUGUCAAGUGAAUGCUGUACAUGCGCAGUGCUAGUUUGGUCUGGGAAUGAGAGUCGUGUGUGAUUCGUCCGUGGUCUGGUUGUCUUGGUCUUGGUCAUGUGUUCUGUACGUAUUGGUCCCUGAUUGGUCGUCUCGAUUUGUCGUCGGUUUAUUACUGCUUGUUCGUUGUUUUUUUCUUUGAGUCUUUUCCCGGGAGUCUCUCCCGUCGUCGUUUUCUGUCUAGUCUUUUCGUCUUUCUCCUCCUGUGCCCUCGCCGUUUAUUAUUGAGAAGUGAAUACUAGUAUGGAAGCUAA